GGCGCCUUGGCGUAGUGGUAGCGCGUCGCACUUGUACAAACCUUUCGAGGUUUGUAGUAAUGCGAAGGUCAUUCGUUCAAUCCGGGUAGGCGGCA